GGCCCGGGAGGAGGUGACGGCGCCGGUCUCCCAGCCGACCACUAGGGGGCGACUCCUUCAGCAUUCAGCCCAGAGUGAGGAGCUGUUGGCGGGGAAGAAAGAAGCUCUGGACCACCUGGAGCUGCUUGACGCACAAGCUUAAGUUCAGACCGGGUGUGAUCAGUCCCCCAAGGACAUCCCUGCGAAUGGAACGGACCAACCGAGCCUUAUCCACAGCUGGAUCUCUGAGCUGCAGGGUGGCAAUACGUCGGCAGAGGGACUGCCUGUUCCCCUGCCCUGUUUGCCUGAUGGUGUGAUGUUUAGCUGUGAUCCCUAAUGGAGCAGACCUCCGCCGGGAAGCGGAAGUCCUGCCAACCGUGCAACAGCCCUGUUCAGUAUGGCUCCUCUGAUGACGUCUCCCCCUCCCAAAGUCACGAGGGCGCAUGCUUUCCAUCACAACCAGCGAGCCCAAGAGGAAGGAUCAGUAGAUACUCCGCGCACCCCCAGCGCAGAAUAAAGACUCAAGCUGACCACGCAUCAUCCUAUGUGUUUGUGUGUGUUAAUGCAUCCUUGUUGGCUGAUUAAAGAGCAGCUCAUUAAAAAAGAGGAGACAUGGCUCUAGUGAGGGUGGUGUAUUCCCCAAGUCGAGGAACUAAGGGAGUGGAUGGGCGGGUUGUUGGACCCAGCUCAGUCAUGUGGCUUGACGUCAGCUUCCAUACACAACUGCCCUUCUGCAGGAAUACCGGCCCGAAAAACUGGGUCAGUCACGCAUGGUUAGGUUAUACAUGAAUCCAUAUAUCCUAUGUGUCCAUAUCCCUGCCCUUUGCUUGAUUGACAAUACAGAAAUGUGCUUGCUCGAUAAUGAAGUCCCUCCAGGGAACUGACUCUGAAAUUAAACAUGUCUUCAGGCUCCAGUUUGCCAAGAAAAUGGUAUUAGACAUUUGGAUGAUCUUUAGGAUUGUCAAAGAUAGAGGUUGUACUUAUAUACUGUACAUGUAGAAGGCCGGAAUAUCUGUACAAGUCUCUAAUACACAAUUUCAUUAAUAUUAUAUUUCUUUUGUUUCAUUUCGUUUUUUGACUAUAAACUUAAUGCACCCCAAACAAAC
ensembl:lncRNA